UGUCAAGAGGGAAACAACCCAGACCGCCAGCUAAGGUCCCCAAAUAUAGCUAAGUGGGAAACGAAGUGGGAAGGCUAAAACAGUCAGGAGGUUGGCUUAGAAGCAGCCACCCUUUAAAGAAAGCGUAAUAGCUCACUGAUCGAGUCGUCCUGCGCGGAAGAUGUAACGGGGCUAAGCUAUAUACCGAAGCUGCGGAUGCACAUUUAUGUGCAUGGUAGGAGAGCGUUCCGUAAGCCUGCGAAGGUGCAUUGUAAAGUGUGCUGGAGGUAUCGGAAGUGCGAAUGCUGACAUGAGUAGCGAUAAAGGGGGUGAAAGGCCCCCUCGCCGUAAGCCCAAGGUUUCCUACGCAACGUUCAUCGGCGUAGGGUGAGUCGGCCCCUAAGGCGAGGCAGAAAUGCGUAGCUGAUGGGAAGCAGGUCAAUAUUCCUGCACCAUUGUUAAAUGCGAUGGGGGGACGGAUCGCGGAAGGUUGUCCGGGUGUUGGAAGUCCCGGUCGCUGCGUUGGAGAAGGCACUUAGGCAAAUCCGGGUGCAGAAUUCAAGGGCGUGGCGCGAGCUUCUUAGGAAGCGAAGCAAUUGGAAGUGGUUCCAAGAAAAGCCUCUAAGCUUCAGUUUAACAGUGACCGUACCGCAAACCGACACAGGUGGGCGAGAUGAGUAUUCUAAGGCGCUUGAGAGAACUCGGGAGAAGGAACUCGGCAAAUUGGUACCGUAACUUCGGGAUAAGGUACGCCCCUGUAGCUUGACUGGCCUGCGCCAGAAGGGUGAAGGGGUUGCAAUAAACUGGUGGCUGCGACUGUUUAAUAAAAACACAGCACUCUGCAAACACGAAAGUGGACGUAUAGGGUGUGACGCCUGCCCGGUGCCGGAAGAUUAAAUGAUGGGGUGCAAGCUCUUGAUUGAAGUCCCGGUAAACGGCGGCCGUAACUAUAACGGUCCUAAGGUAGCGAAAUUCCUUGUCGGGUAAGUUCCGACCUGCACGAAUGGCGUAACGAUGGCCACACUGUCUCCUCCCGAGACUCAGCGAAGUUGAAGUGUUUGUGAUGAUGCAAUCUCCCCGCGGCUAGACGGAAAGACCCCAUGAACCUUUACUGUAGCUUUGCAUUGGACUUUGAACCGAUCUGUGUAGGAUAGGUGGGAGGCUAUGAAACCGGAACGCUAGUUUCGGUGGAGCCGUCCUUGAAAUACCACCCUGGUUUGUUUGAGGUUCUAACCUUGGCCCGUGAUCCGGGUCGGGGACAGUGCAUGGUAGGCAGUUUGACUGGGGCGGUCUCCUCCCAAAGUGUAACGGAGGAGUACGAAGGUACGCUAGGUACGGUCGGAAAUCGUGCUGAUAGUGCAAUGGCAUAAGCGUGCUUAACUGCGAGACCGACAAGUCGAGCAGGUGCGAAAGCAGGUCAUAGUGAUCCGGUGGUUCUGUAUGGAAGGGCCAUCGCUCAACGGAUAAAAGGUACUCUGGGGAUAACAGGCUGAUACCGCCCAAGAGUUCAUAUCGACGGCGGUGUUUGGCACCUCGAUGUCGGCUCAUCUCAUCCUGGGGCUGUAGCCGGUCCCAAGGGUAUGGCUGUUCGCCAUUUAAAGAGGUACGUGAGCUGGGUUUAAAACGUCGUGAGACAGUUUGGUCCCUAUCUGCCGUGGGCGUUGGAUAUUUGAAGGGGGCUGCUCCUAGUACGAGAGGACCGGAGUGGACGAACCUCUGGUGUACCGGUUGUCACGCCAGUGGCAUCGCCGGGUAGCUAUGUUCGGAAGAGAUAACCGCUGAAAGCAUCUAAGCGGGAAACUCGCCUUAAGAUGAGAUAUCCCUGGAGGCUUGACCUCCUUGAAGGGUCGUUCGAGACCAGGACGUUGAUAGGUCAGGUGUGUAAGCGCAGUAAUGCGUUCAGCUAACUGAUACUAAUUGCCCGUAAGGCUUGAUCCU
rnacentral:rRNA from 1 species